rnacentral:rRNA from 1 species
UGCCAGAGGUUACUGCUAUCGGUGUUCGCCUAAGCCAUGCGAGUCAUAUGUGGCAAUACAUGGCGUACUGCUCAGUAACACGUGGAUAACCUGCCCUUGGGACCGGCAUAACCCCGGGAAACUGGGGAUAAUUCCGGAUAACGCAUAUUUGCUGGAAUGCUUUAUGCGUCAAAAGGAUUCGUCUGCCCAAGGAUGGGUCUGCGGCCUAUCAGGUAGUAGUGGGUGUAAUGUACCUACUAGCCAGCGACGGGUACGGGUUGUGAGAGCAAGAGCCCGGAGAUGGAUUCUGAGACAUGAAUCCAGGCCCUACGGGGCGCAGCAGGCGCGAAAACUUCACAAUGCGGGAAACCGUGAUAAGGGGACACCGAGUGCCAGCAUCAUAUGCUGGCUGUCCGGAUGUGUAAAAUACAUCCGUUAGCAAGGGCCGGGCAAGACCGGUGCCAGCCGCCGCGGUAACACCGGCGGCCCGAGUGGUGAUCGUGAUUAUUGGGUCUAAAGGGUCCGUAGCCGGUUUGGUCAGUCCUCCGGGAAAUCUGAUAGCUCAACUAUUAGGCUUUCGGGGGAUACUGCCAGACUUGGAACCGGGAGAGGUAAGAGGUACUACAGGGGUAGGAGUGAAAUCUUGUAAUCCCUGUGGGACCACCUGUGGCGAAGGCGUCUUACCAGAACGGGUUCGACGGUGAGGGACGAAAGCUGGGGGCACGAACCGGAUUAGAUACCCGGGUAGUCCCAGCCGUAAACGAUGCUCGCUAGGUGUCAGGCAUGGCGCGACCGUGUCUGGUGCCGCAGGGAAGCCGUGAAGCGAGCCACCUGAGAGGUACGGCCGCAAGGCUGAAACUUAA